GGGUUAGUAGGUUGGUCAUGCCUCUGGUAUGUACUGGUCUCACUGAUUCCUCCUUCCCGAUGAGCCGUAAUGCCAUUAAUUUGGUAUUGCGGGGAAUUUGGACUGUUACUUUGAAAAAAUUAGAGUGUUUAAAGCAGGCCAAUUGCUUGAAUACAUUAGCAUGGAAUAAUAAAAUAGGACGUGCGGUUCUAUUUUGUUGGUUUCUAGAGUCGCCGUA
rnacentral:rRNA from 1 species